CCGUAGCGGCCGCCGUCUGGCAGUUCGAACAUGAAUACGGCUGCGGUGCCCCUGGUGGCUUUGGUGGCCUUCCUGGCCACACCGGCGCUUGCUGGAUGGCCGCCAUCUGAUCCAACCAAUCCUAUCGAAUGCGUCGCCGCGGGAGGCGAGUGUACUGCCAGCAACGGCUGUCCCGACUGGCAGCAGCCAUUCAAGGGCAUCUGCGGCGCAGGCCGCGAGUGCUGCUUCAAAGACUAUCAAAACCACAAGUUAAAGUGUGGUCAAUUCGGGGGCGAUUGUACUCGGCCGCGCAGUUGUGGCAAUGCACCUCAGCACAAGAACGCCUUCUGCCCGAAGAAAGGCCAGGUCUGCUGCAUCUGGCUCUUCUGAAGAGGCCGGAGCGAGGCACAGCGUGACCUGCGCGGGAUCUGGAGAGAAGCUGGCGAUGAUCUGGGGUAUUUUGAGAAUAUCUGAAUCCUGAAGUUGUGCCGGACGUUAUCUGAAGGGAAUUUAAUGGUGAUGAGAGCGUUGGUGAUUGUCUGCAAGUAGACUGGACAUAAUUUGGGGCGAUGGUAUUGUGUGCCAACUUCGGAUACCAACUGGAAAGAAAGUGAGCUGGAACUUAUUUGAAGUGUUAUAGAUAUGAUCAUGGGGUGUUGGGAAGGCAUUCUGGAGAUGUUUCAAAUAAGAUCUGAGCCAAUUUAUGCUUGGCGAAACCUACCCGGACGAAUAGAAAUUGCACCCUAAAUGGACAUCGUUAUAUAGCCAGUGAUAUAACCGCUGUAAUAUCGGAGUUUUAUGCUUUGGCCGAGCUUAGGCACGUACCACAUGGUGUCGCAGUUAUUCGGAAGUGUGCACUUUCUAAAGGGCGCUGCUAUAACGAAAAAUGUAUAAUACGCCUGGUUUUUAACCUGGUAUUAUGACCUAUGACUAUCUUUAUUGGUGUCGAACGCGAGCAAAGUUGUGCUUGCAUGCAUUGGAGUG